rnacentral:tRNA from 1 species
UAGACUGUAGCUAAAUUAAUAAAGCACCUCAUUUACAUUGAGGGGAUCGUUAAACGAAACGCUGUCUAA